rnacentral:rRNA from 1 species
CCUACGGGGGGCUGCAGUGGGGAAUAUUGGACAAUGGGGGCAACCCUGAUCCAGCCAUGCCGCGUGUGUGAAGAAGGCCCUCGGGUUGUAAAGCACUUUCAGUGAGGAAGAACGCCUGGUGGUUAAUACCCAUCAGGAAAGACAUCACUCACAGAAGAAGCACCGGCUAACUCCGUGCCAGCAGCCGCGGUAAUACGGAGGGUGCGAGCGUUAAUCGGAAUUACUGGGCGUAAAGCGCGCGUAGGUGGCUUGAUAAGCCGGUUGUGAAAGCCCGGGGCUCAACCUGGGAACGGCAUCCGGAACUGUCAAGCUAGAGUGCAGGAGAGGAAGGUAGAAUUCCCGGUGUAGCGGUGAAAUGCGUAGAGAUCGGGAGGAAUACCAGUGGCGAAGGCGGCCUUCUGGACUGACACUGACACUGAGGUGCGAAAGCGUGGGUAGCAAACAGGAUUAGAUACCCCAGUAGUC